ensembl:snRNA U6 U6 spliceosomal RNA
GUGCUCGCUUCAGCAGCACAUAUACUAAGAUUGGAAUGGACAGUACAGAGAAGAUUAGCAUGGCCCUGUACAAGGAUGACACGCAAAUUUGUGAAGCAUUCUGUAUGUUU